GUCAUAAUAUCCCCUUGGUGACAUGAGGCCCUGAAGGGCCCUAAUGGUCUCCAUGGGUCCAUCAGGCCCCACAGAGUCAUAAUGGUCUCUGGGUUCAAUGAAGCCCCGCUGUAUCACCAUGGCCCCUUGGUUCCAUGGGCUCCAGUGGUGCCACAAUGAUCCCCUUGGUUUCAUGAGGUCCCCACAGUGUCCCAGUGAUCAUCAUGGGAAGGAAAGAACCAAGCCCCAGUAUUGCAGGGGCAGCCACUAGAGGCCAAGAGUCAUAAGCUGACAAGGAAACAACUUUGUGAAAACUUUGUGAAACUCUAAUCCUUGACCUGAAAGAGAAGAGAGACAGCCUGGGACUUGAGAUGUCAGAAGAUGGGAAAGAAGCCUAGGUGGGAAGAGAUGAUGGAGUGGCCUUUGGCUGGACUUUUUCUUGUAUAGCCAUAGACUGAACCAAUUUUCCUGUAACAGAGAGACUGCAUUUAGGAGGAUGCAAUGUCUUGAGCCAAGAGAGUGACCUGCUGCAGUGAUUGCCAUGUGAGGAGUGAGAGUGACCUGCUGCAGUGACGCCAUGUGCAGGAGUGAACAGAGAAAGAUGAGGAGGGUGUGGUGGUGCCCUCUGUCUUCAGAGAAGAAGAAGAUCUCUGUUCUCAAGACCCUCGGCCCCAGGGGAGGUGAAAAUGAGGGGGUCUGUUGUCCCAAAAUGAGAAAAACUGUCGUUCUCUGGUACUUGGCAAAGCAUCCUUAAAAGGAACCCUAGAAGCAGUCUUGGUCCAUGGACAGUGGUGAGAGCAUGGAAGGAGGAGGUCACAAUGGCAGAUUUUCUCUGGGUGGUGCCAUGUGUGAGAUGGAAAUAUGAGAGGUUUCAACUGUGUUUCCUGGGGAAGACUAUGGUACCAGAGAGACUCCUCUCUCCCUUGAUGAACUGCGAAUUGAUUAUCUGAGGGGUGGUAACUUGACUGAGAAUCCAAGGUUUUGUCUCACUGUGCUUUGGUGGAAAUUGGGUGGGGAGAGGAGGAAUGUUUUGGAAGGUUUUAAUUUUGAAUUUUGUGUUUCUUUUUUUAUAGUUGUAGGUUAAUAAAGUUUUUUUUUUCCUUUAUUUCUAAGCUUGAGCCUGCUCUGCUCUGUUUCUGCUCACAUCUCACAGUAACCAUUUGAGAAAAAUAUAUUUUCAUGGGAGCACUGGCAUUGCUCCAGCACCAACCCAUGACACAGAGAAAGGCCAGAGGGGCAGGGAAGACACUAGGAAUUGGUCACAUUUUCUCCUGUCACAGCCAUGACUCAGGGAAUAGGAUUAAACCUGGAAAGGCUGAGGCGCAUUACUGACCUCUUGCUGCCUAAGGAAAGAAAGAGAAAUGAAGAUAAUUUGUCCUUUUUUGGGUUGUCCAGUUCAAAAAAGACACUGAGUCAACCAAGAAGGUUGGGAAAGCUGGAUAUACAAGGAUUGACAUGGGGAAGCUGGGAGUAGAAGAUGUGCCCAUACUCAUGGUGAAGGAAAAUCCUGUUCUUGGAUGAAACUCCCUAAGGCAAGGAUUCCUUGAGAGAAGAUGGAUCCCAACUCUUGGAGAUACUACAAUUUUGACUGGAAAUUGGGUGACCUGAACAGCUGGGCCCUAUUUGGAACAGGUUUAUGGACUGGUUAAUUCAAAAGAGGAUGUCCAAUCUAAAUUAUUCUGAAGUUUUAUAUAAAGGGUUCUCUUGAGGAUUUUUUGCAAGUUGCAAAACAAUGGCCAUAUUCAGCCGAUGCACAAUCCAGCCUGAUGGUAACAAUGGAUAAUGGACAUGUUCACAGACAAUGGAUAACGGAAAUAUUCAGAAACGGGGUCAGUAUAUCCUGAGAAACAUAGAAGAAGAAGAAUCAUCAAGACUCAGCAAGUUUGUCAGCAAGUUUGAAAAAAAAAGAGAAGCAAAGGGUGGGCCAGACAACCACAGCAAUCAGAUGAUCCAAUCAGCAUUCUAAUUUAGAUGCAUGAACAGCUAGGAUUAACCAGUCAUGUAUUAGCUAGAGACAUGUGAACAGUAGAAACUUAUUAUAAAUUAAGCCUUUUUAGGAUACUAAAUUAGCUUCACUCGAUCGUAUUGAUCAUGAUGUGAUGUUCCCAUUCCUGAUUCUCCAUUUUGGUGGAGAAUGUGGGCACCCCCAGCGUGAUAGCACGAGAGGGACUCGAGGACGGCAAUUUGGCUGCUGUGCAGAAGAUCAGAGCCAGCCUCUGAGGAGCAGAGAAGCCAGUCUGAAGAAGCGUGUUUCCUGGCCUGUUGGAGUCCACUCCCGCUAGCUACAGACCCUUGCCCACACAAUACUUCAUAGACGAUGGUAAAAGAUUAGAGAAGUGCUCUCCUCCACGUGGGAAACAUUGUCCUUUAUUCCAAGACACACAUCAGGCAGACAAACCCAUGGGAGAAAAGAGGGCUUUCCCUAGCAAGCAGAGAGCUUUUUCUACCCCCCUGGGAUGGGGACAGAGGGAGAGGUCCACAGCCAAAGGGAUACCAGUGAGGAGUGGUGAGGGGAGGGGUAACCCAGGGGAGAGACCACCAGGUGGUACCGGGACAGGUGAGGGAAAGACCAUGUGAUAGGGAAAAGGGGUAACAAACCACAUGAUGUAACAUAAGCUAUACAGUGCAAUAUAAAACUAUUCUGUGCAAAUUCCCAAUCACCCAGUGCAAGAGAACAACUAAACUGGUGCACCACAACACCACA